AGCAGCCGCGGUAAUUCCAGCUCCAAUAGCGUAUAUUAAAGUUGUUGCAGUUAAAAAGCUCGUAGUUGAAUUUUGGGUCUGGCCGGGCGGUCCGCCCUCUGGGUGAGCACUGUUCCGACGCCGGGCCUAUCCUUCUGGUGAGUCGGCAUGUCCUUUGUUGGGUGUGUCGGGGAACCAGGACCAUUACCUUGAAAAAAUUAGAGUGUUCAAAGCAGGCGUAUGCUCGGAUACAUUAGCAUGGAAUAAUGAAAUAGGACGCGUGGUGCUAUUUUGUUGGUUUCUAGAACCGCCGUAAUGAUUAAUAGGGAUAGUUGGGGGCAUUAGUAUUCAAUUGUCAGAGGUGAAAUUCUUGGAUUUAUUGAAGACUAACUUCUGCGAAAGCAUUUGCCAAGGAUGUUUUCAUUAAUCAAGAACGAAAGUUAGGGGAUCGAAGACGAUCAGAUACCGUCGUAGUCUUAACCAUAAACUAUGCCGACUAGGAAUCGGGCGAUGUUAUUCUCAUGACUCGCCCGGCG
rnacentral:rRNA from 1 species